GCUCUGUCUUGGGCUCUCUGCCCUCUAGAAUCUUUCUUUGUGAUAUCAUCAGUUCCCAUGGUUUCAAUGAUAUCAGUGUUGAUGAUCCCUAAAUCUAAAUAUCCAGCCUUAAUCUCUCUCCUAAGCUCUAGUAUGAAACGAUCAACUACUGUCUCACAGGCACUGUGCUGAGCCUGGGGAAUACUUGGAAUGUCACCUCAAAAAUUCUGUUCAUUCUCUUCACAAGUGUGAAGAUAGGAUCAACUAUCCCCUUGCCUAUUGUUGCAGUCCAGCCCAUAGGUAUUAUAAAGAGACAAGGUUUGUGAAUGGGCACAUGGCCAUUCUGCGCAUGGCAAUGAACUCUUUCCCAGCGUGGCUAAAGUUAGGGCGUGAAAACCCUGCUUCCUUUUGUCUCACUCACCUGAGGAUAAAAACUCCACCCUUCACCUUGUCGCGAUUUGCAAUUAUCCAAUGGCAAUACACUAGGUAACUCAUCUAUAUGUAUUGAGGCAUUGUGUAACUUAUCAAUAUGUAUUGAGUUCAUUUGCAUAGACAAUAAAUUGGAAAGCCAUGGA